GUCUAUGUCCAUGCUACCCUGAAUGUGCCCAAUCUCUUCUGAUCUCAGAAGCUAAGCAGGGUUGGGCCUAGUUAAGUUCUUGGAUGGGAGACCACCUAGGAAUACCGGGUGCUGUACGCG
ensembl:rRNA 5S_rRNA 5S ribosomal RNA